AUGUUGGUGGUUCAGUGGUAGAAUUCUCGCCUUCCACGUGGGAGACCCAGGCUCGAUUCCUGGCCAAUGCA
rnacentral:tRNA from 1 species